CGGCGUGCCUAAUACAUGCAAGUCGAACGGUCUUUCUAUGGAAGCUUGCUUCCACUGAGAAGAUAGUGGCGAACGGGUGAGUAACACGUGGGUAACCUGCCCAUAAGAGGGGGAUAACAUCCGGAAACGGGUAGCUAAUACCGCAUAGUUUUCUUGAUUGCAUGAUCGGGAAAGGAAAGACGGCCUUUGUGCUGUCGCUUAUGGAUGGACCCGCGGCGUAUUAGUUAGUUGGUGAGGUAACGGCUCACCAAGACGAUGAUACGUAGCCGACCUGAGAGGGUGAUCGGCCACAUUGGGACUGAGACACGGCCCAAACUCCUACGGGAGGCAGCAGUAGGGAAUCUUCCGCAAUGGACGAAAGUCUGACGGAGCAACGCCGCGUGAGUGAAGAAGGUUUUCAAGAUCGUAAAACUCUGUUGUCAGAGAAGAACAAGUUGGAGAGUAACUGCUCCAGCCUUGACGGUAUCUGACCAGAAAGCCACGGCUAACUACGUGCCAGCCGCAGC
rnacentral:rRNA from 1 species